rnacentral:rRNA from 1 species
GACGAACGCUGGCGGCGUGCUUAACACAUGCAAGUCGAACGACGUGGCGAAGGGGAGAGUAAUACGUGGGUAACCUGCCCUCCUGUUUGGGCUAAGCCUUGGAAACGGGGUCUAAUACCGAAUAGAGGGGGAUGGGCUCGCGGCCUAUCAGCUUGUUGGUGGGGUGAUGGCCUACCAAGGCGGUGACGGGUAGCCGGCCUGAGAGGGGGACCGGCGACAUAGAGACUGAGAUACGGCCCAGACUACGACGCGAGGCAGAAGUGGGGGAUAUUGCACAAUGGGCGAAAGCCUGAUGCAGCGACGCCGCGUGGGGGAUGAAGGUUUUCAGGUUGUAAAACUCGGGCGCUAGCGAACGGGUAGGGGGAGAAGAAGCGCCGGCUAACUACGUGCCAGCAGCCGCGGUAAUAC